rnacentral:rRNA from 1 species
GGGGGGGGGGGGGGGGGGGGGGGGGGGGGGGGGGGGGGGGGGGGGGGGGGGGGAGGCGGGGCGGGGGGCGGCGGGGGGGGGGGGGGGGGGGCGGGAGCUGCCGUUUUGUGGGGGAUAACGGAGGGAAACUUACUCUCAUACCGCAUACGUCCUACGGGAGAAAGGGGGGGACCGCAAGGCCUCCCGCAGAAAGGUGCGCCGACGCCCGAUGAGCUAGUUGGUGGGGUAAAGGCCCACCAAGGCGACGAUCGGUAGCUGGUCUGAGAGGAUGAUCAGCCACACUGGGACUGAGACACGGCCCAGACUCCUACGGGAGGCAGCAGUGGGGAAUAUUGGACAAUGGGCGAAAGCCUGAUCCAGCCAUGCCGCGUGUGUGAAGAAGGCCUUCGGGUUGUAAAGCACUUUUGUCCGGAAAGAAAUCCCGGGAGCUAAUACCUUCGGGGGAUGACGGUACCGGAAGAAUAAGCACCGGCUAACUUCGUG